ACAAGCCACUCCAGCGCACCACCUACCACCUCUUCGCCUCUAUCUUCGCUCGUGGGUAGUUCAAAGACACCUGCAGCGACAGAAUUGCUGUGAGAAGGAUCAAGUGUGCCAAAUUUCACAGCGAGCCACCCUCCCCGCCCUCUGUGCCCUUUCUCUCGCUUGCAGGUACCCCACAAGCUCACCUCCCGCUGUUUUGCAUGAUGGGGCGGCGGAGAGUGCAGUGAUGCGUGCACGUGUUCCUCAUGUGCUUCCUUUGCGUUGAUGCCGGGAGGAUCGCCCGUUAUUAGUGCUUGUUGAGUCGUGGCCCGCGCCUACAGGUCCAUCGAGCACUUCCCACCCACCCGCCCCCUCCUUUCUGAGUCGUGUUCCUCCUUCGUCACCUCUCCUUUUUUUUCCUCCCGGGAUCAUGAAUUGAGUUCAGACGCAAGAAGCUGCCGGGGACCACCCCAUUCCAUGGAAUUGUCUGCUGUCGUGCGGAAGGAGUGUGAUGGGCACAAAGGGUCGCGCUUGAUCUUUCUUUGGUCAUAUAUAGCUGCUGUUGCCGAGUUCUGUGUGUGGAGUGUGCACCUCGGCGAUUCAGUAGCAAGUGGCUGGCUAUGGUGCAUGACAGAACUUGAUGGCUCUCCCAAGCGCUCACCCCCACGCCCCCUCUUACCACGCUCCGGAUAACAAAAGGAGUUUGGGCGUAUGUUUCUUGGUUCGUUGCCCACGUGCGGGGAAUCGGCGAGAGAAAUGGUGGAGGACGGUGAAGGCACGGAAGUGUUGCUGUGGCGGCAUCAGAAGUUCGCCGUGGGUGUGACACCAAAGGACGAUCAACGUGUGUAAAGGUCGACGGCCAAAAAAAGUGACAACUUGGCUGGUGAGGGCUUCUAGCACCGGCCUUGAGGAGACGUAAGCGCUGCUCUCUCACCCGCUGUGGGUGUGCAAGGGUAGCAAGUUAUGUGAACGUGUGUAAGUGUGUGUGUGUGUGUGUGGUGUCAGAAGGUGUGUGAUGAGCGUUUGGCUGCGGAGGACAAGUGAACUAUCGCCGUCGGAUGAGCUUACCGCCUCUCUCUCUCCGUGCUUCUGCGAUGCGCUCCUCUGGGUCUGCGCAAGAUUCCUUUAGCUGGCUGCCGGUACAAACCGCCAACCAUCAGACACGUAAGAACUCAAGCUCGCUUUCUCUGUGCGGCAGCAUACCAGACGCACCUCAGCCGACUCAGCAUGGAAUCAGAUGCAACUUGCAGCGAAGUGAUGCAUGUGCCUAUAACCCCCACUCGGCACUCAUCUGCCCCUCUCUCUUAACUCUCGAUGCCUUGCCUCACCCUCUUCCCGACCCUCUUGCCUUGCGCUCCAUCACCACCACCUCUGCCCUUGACAG
rnacentral:misc_RNA from 1 species